rnacentral:lncRNA from 1 species
CCAUCUUAAUUGCUAUAUUUACAGUAGAAAUUUGAUACUGGACUGAUUGCAAAUCUAUUGCUAAUGGAUUUUCUCUACAGACAUUUCAAUAAAGUUUGCUCCCAAGCAGUCUGAGGCCACAUGAACUAACAAUUUAGAAGGGAAGAUCAGGAAAAAACACAAAGUCAAGGUCCAUUCUCCAUCUCUAGCCUGAAGCUCUGAAGCAACCAGUUUCAGAAGACAACACUCCUUUGCUCCGGAGAAAAGGAGGCAUUUUAUGCAGGGGUUUGCCUGGCUCCUUGACCCCUUGGCAGGGUAUCAGAGCACAGCUUCAGACUCUAGUCUACAGACCCUGUAGAGAAGCCGUGGAUGGUGUUACUCAAAGAGCGUGUCCUACUCGCUGUGCACAGAGGUGGGAAAUGCAGAGGCUGGCUGUGGAGGAAGGCUCACCGCAAGCAGCACUUGUAGCAAUAACUUGAUUUGAGUGGAAAAGAUUCAAGAUCAUUCCCUGGGACUCC